AAUUGUUUACAUGUGACACAAGCUCCUCAGAAGUACAAGCGUGAGGUCGUGGAGCUCCGCACACAAAAAUUCAACACCGCAAUUUUAGCUUUUGCGACAAAUGCAAACGUAUUUAAUUGUCACUGACAGUGGCAUUGUCGUGAGACUUAAAAUCAAGUUAUUAAUGAAUGACAUAACUUUAGAAAAUACUAAUAGACCAUCGUAAUGGUCCCUGGUAGCAGAGCUAUUUUCCUCGCCUCUUGCGAAUCUCUACGGAUAGCGGUGCUUACCAAAUUUCAGUAAUUUAAGCAUGUAUUUUGGCUAGUGCGGGAAAAUCGGUUUUAGUGAAAUAAAAUGUUUGCAUAUAAAGCUUCGGCUCAACAGGGCACACGUAUGUUUAGAGCCAAGAUUUUAAGCAAAUGUGCUUUUAGAAGAAAAAUGAGUUCCAGGCUUGUUCUCGGCAUUGAGACGAGCUGUGACGAGACAGGUGCGGCUGUAAUGGAUGAAACAGGUUUAAUCCUUGGAGAAUCUCUUCAUUCACAAAAAGAGGUGCACAUGAAGACUGGUGGGAUUAUUCCCACUGUUGCCCAGCGGCUCCACAGAGAGAACAUAGGCCGCGUCGUCCAGGAGGCCAUGGAGAGAAGUGGCGUCACCCAGAGUCAACUGUCUGCUGUAGCCACCACAGUGAAGCCGGGCCUGGCCCUGAGUCUGGGGAUAGGCCUGCACUUUAGCCUGAACUUUGUAAAGCUACACCAGAAGCCCUUCAUCCCCAUCCACCACAUGGAGGCCCACGCCCUGACAGUCAGGAUGCUCCAGCCUGUAGUAUUCCCCUUCCUCGUCCUCCUAGUCUCCGGAGGUCACUCUCUCUUGGCUCUGGCCAGAGGAAUUGAUGACUUUCUUCUCCUGGGUCAAACACUGGAUGAAGCUCCAGGGGACACUAUGGACAAGGUGGCAAGACGUUUGUCACUCAUCAAACACCCAAAGUGCUCCAUGAUAAGUGGGGGUCAAGCAAUAGAGAUUCUGGCUCGAGAUGGAGACAGGUUGAAGUUUCUCUUCAAGCCACCAAUGGGAGCGCACUAUGACUGUAACUUCUCAUUUGCUGGUCUGCGAAAUCAGGUGACGAUGUCAAUACAGAAAAAAGAGGAAGAGGAAGGUGUGGAGCAGGGAACUUUGUUGUCAUGUGUUAAUGACAUAGCUGCUGCUACGCAGCACACAGUGGCCUCUCACAUUGCCAAGCGCACACAUCGUGCCAUUUUGUUCUGUAAGGCCAAAGACCUUCUGCCUUCCUGCAAUCCAACACUGGUGGUGUCAGGAGGAGUUGCCAGUAACCAGUACAUCCGAAAGAUUUUGAAGAUUGUCACAGACACCACUGGAUUACAUUUGCUUUGUCCUCCAUCCAAGUUUUGUACUGACAAUGGAGUCAUGAUCGCAUGGAAUGGAGUUGAGAGACUGAGGGAAGGAAAGGGCAUCCUGUCCCAUACUGAGGAGGUCAACUAUGAGCCCAAAGCUCCCCUGGGUGUGAACAUAACAGCAGAAGUGAAGGAGGCAGCUAUCAAACUUCCACCAUUAAAGCUGAGGGUUACGGACUGACGUUCACUUAUAAUACAGGUGAGCACAUAGGUGACCAACAGCUCCCAUGGUGACAAUAGCAUCAGGAAUACCUGCCCGGGUGUGAGCCAGACUGGCUAGCAACUGAGCUAUGGCAGAAAUGUAUGCAGUAAGUACUGGGCUGAAGUUA